rnacentral:tmRNA from 1 species
GGGGGCGUAAGGGCUCGACAGAGCCGGUUCGACCGUUGGUUGCGAGCCGAGGCGCCGCUGGCCUCGUUAAAAGCGGCAAGCACAGUAAGUGCGAACAACAACUACGCUUACGCGGCUUAAUUGACCGCGCGGUCCCCUCGCCCAAGCCGGUCGGGUGAACGGGAGCGACGCAAAAUCCGGAUCGCUUGGAAGGCUUCUGCUCGGAGCCGACCCGGCUAAAUCAAUCGAGCUGGUACCGCGCGCGCCCGCCUCGGGGCAUAGCCUGCGGUCGAGACUUAAACCGAGGAUACGCUCGUAGACGCCUUCGGGGCGACGGUUUUGGAAGCGGGUUCAAUUCCCGCCGCCUCCACCA